GCACGCUGGAUGCGAGAUCAAGAGGAGCAGCCCGCCGGCAGCUGCCCAGGUAGAGGGAACAAGUUUUCCACCAGUGGGAUCUUACGCAUGGUUUCCAGAGGCUGGAGGAGUCGCAGAUAUUGUUUGUGGCUUCUAAUCACUGCCUUGUCCUGCCCACGAACGCUGGAUCCGAGCGAGCCUGGCUCCACCCUUUCUCCUCCGUGCAGAACCGCUCCGUCUGCUCGCAGUGACAGCGCUGAACGCGGUGCUAAAACACCUCCUAGCCAGGGCAGAUGUGCCCCAAAAGAUGCUCGGAAACGGAGUUUUAAUGUUCUUCCUUUUCCACCAACGGAAGAGUAUUUUCCUAAGAGUGUCUUCUCUGCCACCGAUUUCCCGUGUGACUUGGGUUGAAGGAAUCCCUACCAGCCCUCACAGAGAAACACAGAGGACUGGGUUGUUUGACCAGCACAAGGGCAGGGUCAGAGUCACCAAUCACUGCCAUACACUGCAGUGUCACAGGGCCAGCCCCUGAGCCCAGGUGUUUAUCCAGGCACUGGUGAAGACAGCAGAAAAAACUCAGCAGAGCAGCCAUCCCGCUUUUAGUUUCCCAUGAAGGGGAGGAGAUCUGGAUCCACUUUUUGAACUUGCAGAUGCUUCUCCAGCCAACAGGGAAAAACCUGUCCCCUCUCUCUGUAACAGCGAUGAAACGCUCAAAUGGGAGAAGCGGAGAAGGAGGAGAAGAGAGGAGGAAAAACAAAGCUCUUGGGCAAGAGAAGAGAGCUGAAACACUUGGCCAGACUUACUGUUGCAGGCGAGGAAUGUGCCAUUGGGCUCCAUGGCUGCGGCAGGAGCCGGCAGCAGCAGCAGCAGCAGCAGGAUCCAGCGGCGGCGGCUCCAGCAGCUGUGCCCAGCUGUGCCCAGCUGUGCCCAGCGGUGCUCAGCGCUGCCGCGGGGCUGGAGCCGCCGGGCUCCUGCUCCCGGCUCCAGCGGUGCCCGAGCGCAGCUCCCUGGGCAGGGGCUGCUCCUGGCGCUGGGCUGGAACCGCGUCCUGCCUCUGACUGCUCAUUUAUCUCUCCGCAUCCGCACGCCGCCGUGCCCAGCGCCCCGACCGCGGCCGAGCGCUGCUCCCUCUGCUCCUGGCUCCUCCCUGCUCCGAAUCCGCGUCUCCGCCGCUGGCCCGGCCUCCUCCUGCCCCUGGAGCUUCCCAGCCACGCUGAUUUUCUGUGCCUGACGCUUUUUCGUGCUCUGAAUCCGUCCUCGGUGGUCAGCAAAUCAAGGAGAGGGUCUUAAGCAGAUGCCGCAGGUCAGAGUUUAGGAUUAGUGAACUUUUAGGUGGAGGCAUAAUUCUUUUCACAAGGUAAAAAAUAAAACAAAAACAAAACAGUCAGAACUUGCCAGUGUAGAAAUAGAAACUGUAACCACAAACGCUCGCAAAGGCAUGAGCUUAGAGGGAAAAAAAAAUAAAAAAAAAGUUAUGAGCUUUGCAUUUCAGACAGCGAGACAGAAAUUACUGCACUGUCCUAAGGCUUUUAGUGAGCAGAACUGAUUUCUUCAACUCUGUUCCCUCCUCCUGAAUUAAAUACCUUUGAAGGGUAGAAAGAUGAUGAUGGCAAACAGGGAGAGGAAAAGGAAAGGCAAACAGUGUGAGGAGAAAAGUUUCCCUCUACUCGAAUGUGUUUUAAUAAUUGGUUUGCUAUUGUUUAUGUAUGUUUCUGGUUAUUUAGGUUGUUAUCCUGAUGGAAACACUUGAUAAAGUUACUUCAAGAUUC